UACGUAGGUGGCAAGCGUUGUCCGGAUUUACUGGGCGUAAAGAGCGCGCAGGCGGUCGCUCAAGUCGCGUGUGAAAGCCCCCGGCUCAACUGGGGAGGGUCACGCGAUACUGAUCGACUGGAAGGCAGGAGAGGGUAGUGGAAUUCCCGGUGUAGUGGUGAAAUGCGUAGAUAUCGGGAGGAACACCAGUGGCGAAGGCGACUACCUGGCCUGUUCUUGACGCUGAGGCGCGAAAGCAAGGGGAGCAAACAGG
rnacentral:rRNA from 1 species